UGUGGAGGCACCGUUGGGAUACCACCCUGAUCGUAUCUAGGUUCUAACCUGGUACCGUAAUCCGGUGCGGGGACAGUGUCAGGUGGGCAGUUUGACUGGGGCGGUCGCCUCCUAAAGAGUAACGGAGGCGCCCAAAGGUUCCCUCAGAAUGGUUGGAAAUCAUUCGAAGAGUGCAAAGGCAUAAGGGAGCUUGACUGCGAGACCUACAAGUCGAGCAGGGACGAAAGUCGGGCUUAGUGAUCCGGUGGUACCGCAUGGAAGGGCCAUCGCUCAACGGAUAAAAGCUACCCUGGGGAUAACAGGCUUAUCUCCCCCAAGAGUCCACAUCGACGGGGAGGUUUGGCACCUCGAUGUCGGCUCAUCGCAUCCUGGGGCUGAAGUAGGUCCCAAGGGUUGGGCUGUUCGCCCAUUAAAGCGGUACGCGAGCUGGGUUCAGAACGUCGUGAGACAGUUCGGUCCCUAUCUGUCGUGGGCGUAGGAAAUUUGAGAGGAGCUGUCCUUAGUACGAGAGGACCGGGAUGGACGUACCGCUGGUGUACCAGUUGUUCCGCCAGGAGCACCGCUGGGUAGCUAUGUACGGAAGGGAUAAGCGCUGAAAGCAUCUAAGCGUGAAGCCCCCCUCAAGAUGAGAUUUCCCAGUAUGUAAGACCCCUUGAAGACGACGAGGUAGAUAGGCUGGGGGUGGAAGUGCAGCAAUGCAUGGAGCUGACCAGUACUAAUCGGUCGAGGGCUUAUCCAA
rnacentral:rRNA from 1 species